UAAUACCCUAUAGGUUACAGAUGCUGGAAUGCUCUGUAAUCAAAAGUUCCGGCGCCCUAGGAUGGAUCUGCGGCCGAUUAGGUUGUUGUUGGGGUAAUGGCCCAACAAGCCAGUAAUCGGUACGGGUUGUGGGAGCAAGAGCCCGGAGUUGGAUUCUGAGACACGAAUCCAGGCCCUACGGGGCGCAGCAGGCGCGAAAACUUUACAAUGCGGGCAACCGUGAUAAGGGAACCUCGAGUGCCUGUAAAUGCAGGCUGUUCAGAUGCCUAAAACACAUCUGGAGAAAGGGCCGGGCAAGACCGGUGCCAGCCGCCGCGGUAAUACCGGCGGCUCGAGUGGUGGCCACUUUUAUUGGGCUUAAAGCGUUCGUAGCUGGGUUGUUAAGUCUCUUGGGAAAUCUGGCGGCUUAACCGUCAGGCGUCUAAGGGAUACUGGCAAUCUUGGAACCGGGAGAGGUGAGGGGUACUUCGGGGGUAGGAGUGAAAUCCUGUAAUCCUCGAGGGACCACCUGUGGCGAAGGCGCCUCACCAAAAACGGCUUCGACAGUGAGGGACGAAAGCUGGGGGAGCAAACCGGAUUAGAUACCCGGGUAGUCCCAGCCGUAAACUAUGCGCGUUAGGUGUAU
rnacentral:rRNA from 1 species